rnacentral:sRNA from 1 species
AUGGCUGUCGUCAGCUCGUGCCGUGAGGUGUUGGGUUAAGUCCCGCAACGAGCGCAACCCCUACUGUUAGUUGCCAGCGGAUAAUGCCGGGGACUCUAGCAGAACUGCCAGCGCAAGCUGAGAGGAAGGUGGGGACGACGUCAAAUCAUCACGGCCCUUACAUCCUGGGCCACACACGUGCUACAAUGGUAGUGACAGAGGGCAGCCACUGGGUAACCAGGAGCGAAUCCCUUAAACACUAUCUCAGUUCGGAUCGAAGUCUGCAACUCGACUUCGUGAAGCUGGAAUCGCUAGUAAUCGCGCAUCAGCCAUGGCGCGGUGAAUACGUUCCCGGGCCUUGUACACACCGCCCGUCAAGCCAUGGGAAUUGGUUUUACCUUAAGCCGGUGCGCUAACCUUCGGGAGGCAGCCGUCCACGGUAGGGUCAGUGACUGGGACGAAGUCGUAACAAGGUAUCCGUAGGGGAACCUGCGGAUGGAUCACCUCCUUUCUAAGGAUAUUGAUAAAUAGUUCGCUAUUUAUCCGGGUUGUUGUCUACUUAUCUCUUUAUAAUUAUUAGCUAGUGCUAGGUGUUUCCUUAAUCAAACUGGGCCGGUAGCUCAGUUGGUUAGAGCGCGCGCUUGAUAAGCGUGAGGUCGGAAGUUCAAGUCUUCCUCGGCCCACCAUUAAUAACGGGGGGAUUAGCUCAGCUGGGAGAGCGCCUGAUUUGCAUUCAGGAGGUCAGCGGUUCGAUCCCGCUAUCCUCCACCAUAACUAGUUAAUUGUCUUAUUUGUUCUUUAAAAAUGUAAAUAUGAAACUAAUAACUGAUCAAAUAAUUUUUAAAUUAAAUGAUUAACAAAUACGUACAAUAAAAUUUAUCUCUGUACGUAAUUGCAAUCAAGCGCAAAAGGGCAUUUAGUGGAUGUCUUGGCAUUAAGAGGCGAUGAAGGACGCGGCAGGCUGCGAUAAUCUAAGGGGAGUUGUCAACACACUUUGAUCCUUAGGUCUCCGAAUGGGGAAACCCGG